GACGAACGCUGGCGGCGUGCCUAAUGCAUGCAAGUCGAGCGGGCUACGAUCUUCGGAUUGUAGCUUAGCGGCGAACGGGUGAGUAACACGUAGGUAAUCUACCCUUCAGAGGAGGACAACCUCAGGAAACUGAGGCUAAACCUUCAUACGUUCACUGGUAGGGAUACUGGUGAAGAAAGAGUUACCUUAAAGGUAGCUGCUGAAGGAUGAGCCUGCGGCCCAUCAGGUAGUUGGUGAGGUAACGGCUCACCAAGCCGAAGACGGGUAACCGGUCUGAGAGGAUGUCCGGUCACACUGGGACUGAGACACGGCCCAGACUCCUACGGGAGGCAGCAGUCGAGAAUAGUCUACAAUGGCCGAAGGCUGAUAGUGCGACGCCGCGUGAACGAGGGAGCCCUUCGGGGUGUAAAGUUCUUUUCUAUACGAGCAGUGCUAUAUAUAUGGAUAGUAUAUAUAGAGGGAUAGUAGUAUAGGAAUAAGCAACGGCUAACUCCGUG
rnacentral:rRNA from 1 species